UACGGGGGGGGCAAGCGUUGUUCGGAAUUACUGGGCGUAAAGGGCGCGUAGGCGGCCUGCUAAGUCGGACGUGAAAUCCCUCGGCUCAACCGGGGAACUGCGUCUGAUACUGGAUGGCUUGAGUUUGGGAGAGGGAUGCGGAAUUCCAGGUGUAGCGGUGAAAUGCGUAGAUAUCUGGAGGAACACCGGUGGCGAAGGCGGCAUCCUGGACCAACACUGACGCUGAGUGAGCGAAAGCCAGGGGAGCAAAGCGGG
rnacentral:rRNA from 1 species